rnacentral:misc_RNA from 1 species
UAGAUGAGGUCAGACAGCCGGGAGAUG